AUACGUAGGGGGCGAGCGUUGUCCGGAAUGAUUGGGCGUAAAGGGCGCGUAGGCGGCCCGGUAAGUCUGGAGUGAAAGUCCUGUUUUUAAGAUGGGAAUUGCUUUGGAUACUGUCGGGCUUGAGUGCAGGAGCGGUAAGUGGAAUUCCCAGUGUAGCGGUGAAAUGCGUAGAGAUUGGGAGGAACACCAGUGGCGAAGGCGAAUUACUGGACGGUAACGGACGCUGUGGCGCGAGAGUGUGGGGAGCAAACAGGAUUAGAUACCCUGAUAGUCCACACUGUAAACGAGGAAUGCUAGGUGUAGUGGGUAUCGACCCCUUCUGUGCCUCAGGCAACACAAUAAGCAUUCCGCCUGGGGAGUACGGCCGCAAGGUUGAAACUCAAAUGAAUGGACGGUG
rnacentral:rRNA from 1 species